GCUGCAAGGCAACAGCUCUACCAACUGCGCCACUGUGCAGCCCACAUUACAAUCAAAGUAUAUAAAACUUUUUAUAACCAGUACCUGCAAAUGAACCACCUAAUUCAGGGGAUGCUGCAGGUAACCAAACAAAACCCCAAAUCACAGGUAAACAACCUGGUUGUCCAUUACAAAAAGAACCAAUACAUUCCAGGUGAGUAAUGUCUUUUUUUCUCUUCAUUGCAGGAAAGAAGGUCCAAAAGACCCAGUAGACGACGUGUCUUGCAAACAGAAAGUCCCAAGGCCCCAGGAAGACAGCGAGGCGUACCCAGCAUUUCAGUUUCCACCAAAGAAACAAUAUAAUCCCCAGGUCAUGCAAAACAAGUAAAAGUGAAAAAUCAUCCGUAGAAUUGCUUGGAGAACCUCCUCAUCCUCUUAAUGCACUUAGAAACUGCAUGAUAACAAAAACCUUUGUCCAUAAAUCCACUUUCCUCUGCUGUUUCUGGGUCAUGGGAUAACAGCUUCAGAAGGGAGACCCAGACUUCCCUCUCCCCAGCCACUU